CAUCCCAUGCCAGCCGGGUACAUUUGGCCCCCGCUUAGGCCAGGAUGAAGCCACAGACUGCACCCCUUGCCCAGCAGGCAGGGCCUGUACCCAGGCUGGGCUGACACACCCCGACGCAGCGUGCUCACCGGGGUAAGUGCCCGCCAUUUCUCAAUGAUGAGUGUCCCGAUGGGGGCCAGAGCCAUCCCCCUAACACCCUUAGAGAAUCAGUCCCAGGUCAAGGCCAGACUUCUCCCAGCCUCUGACCCUCUCAGGGUUCGGAGAGGGCUGCGCCUUCAGAUCAAAGCUCUGUCUCAGCCAGCCCAGGGCUCCAGGACUUGCCCCCGAGCACCGAGGCCCAGCACUGUCUCAGGUCCAUCCAUGCUCAGGAGGCGUCUAGGGAGCUGUCUUCCUGGCUUUGUCCAUGGAGAAAGUAGCUCAGAGAGGCCAGGUUACCAUGCAGACUCACAGAGCAGGCCAGGGGCACGGCGGGAUCUGGCCAUGACUCUCCAAGAUGCCGGGCUCUGCGUGGUGGGCACCAGGUGCCAACUCCCCUGCUGCUGUAGGAACCGGGGGCCCAGACUGGCCCCCCAUCCCCUGCUCAGCUGGCCAUUAUUGCCCUCCCGGCACCAAAAAGCCAACCCAGUUCCAGUGUCCUCCCGGCAUCUGGAGUAACCAGACUGGAUUGACCAUGAGCGAGGAGUGUAUGCCCUGCCCCAGGGGCUGGUUCUGUGUCAGUGGAGCUCAGGUGCCCUCAGGGACAUGCAGGGCCGGGCAUUACUGCCCAUGAGGGGCGAAGUGGAGGACACAGUUCCCCUGCCCAGCAGGCACCUGCAGCUCCCAGGCAGGCAACGGCCAGCUCGAGGACUGUCUGCC